rnacentral:rRNA from 1 species
GAUCAUGGCUCAGGAUGAACGCUAGCUACAGGCUUAACACAUGCAAGUCGAGGGGAAACGACAUUGGAAGCUUGCUUCCUUUGGGCGUCGACCGGCGCACGGGUGAGUAACGCGUAUCCAACCUUCCCGCAAGUAAGGGAUAACCCGUAGAAAUGCGGCCUAAUACCUUAUGUUUUCCUUAGAGGGCAUCUGAUGAGGAACAAAGAUCCGUCGCUUGCGGAUGGGGAUGGGUCUGAUUAGUUAGUCGGCGGGG